rnacentral:rRNA from 1 species
GAUGAACGCUGGCGGCGUGCCUAACACAUGCAAGUCGAGCGAACCCUUCGGGGUGAGCGGCGGACGGGUGAGUAACGCGUGGGUAACCUGCCCUAUACACACGGAUAACGUACCGAAAGGUACGCUAAUACGGGAUAAAGUUGUUGGAUGGCAUCUUCUAACAAUCAAAGCUCCGGCGGUAUCGGAUGGACCCGCGUCUGAUUAGCUAGUUGGUGCGGUAAUGGCUCACCAAGGCGACGAUCAGUAGCCUACCUGAGAGGGUGAUCGGCCACACUGGAACUGAGACACGGUCCAGACUCCUACGGGAGGCAGCAGUGGGGAAUAUUGCACAAUGGGCGAAAGCCUGAUGCAGCAACGCCGCGUGAGCGAUGAAGGUCUUCGGAUCGUGAAGCUCUGUCCUCAAGGAAGAUAAUGACGGUACUUGAGGAGGAAGCCCCGGCUAACUACGUGCCAGCAGCCGCGGUAA